GAUGAACGUUGGCGGCGUGCCUAACACAUGCAAGUCGAACGGGGUUAAGGGAAGUUUUCGGAUGGACCUUAACUUAGUGGCGGACGGGUGAGUAACGCGUGGAUAACCUGCCUCAUACUGGGGGAUAGCAGCUGGAAACGGCUGGUAAUACCGCAUAAGACCACAGCACCGCAUGGUGCAGGGGUAAAAGAUUUAUCGGUGUGAGAUGGAUCCGCGUCUGAUUAGCCAGUUGGCGGGGUAACGGCCGACCAAAGCGACGAUCAGUAGCCGGCCUGAGAGGGUGAACGGCCACAUUGGGACUGAGACACGGCCCAAACUCCUACGGGAGGCAGCAGUGGGGAAUAUUGCACAAUGGGCGCAAGCCUGAUGCAGCAACGCCGCGUGAGUGAAGAAGUAUUUCGGUAUGUAAAGCUCUAUCGGCAGGGAAGAAAGGCCCGAAAGGGAGAUGACGGUACCUGACUAAGAAGCCCCGGCUAACUACGUGCCAGCAGCCGCGGUAACAC
rnacentral:rRNA from 1 species